GUGGGGAAUAUUGCACAAUGGGCGCAAGCCUGAUGCAGCGACGCCGCGUGCGGGAUGACGGCCUUCGGGUUGUAAACCGCUUUUGACUGGGAGCAAGCCCUUCGGGGUGAGUGUACCUUUCGAAUAAGCACCGGCUAACUACGUGCCAGCAGCCGCGGUAAUACGUAGGGUGCAAGCGUUAUCCGGAAUUAUUGGGCGUAAAGGGCUCGUAGGCGGUUCGUCGCGUCCGGUGUGAAAGUCCAUCGCUUAACGGUGGAUCCGCGCCGGGUACGGGCGGGCUUGAGUGCGGUAGGGGAGACUGGAAUUCCCGGUGUAACGGUGGAAUGUGUAGAUAUCGGGAAGAACACCAAUGGCGAAGGCAGGUCUCUGGGCCGUCACUGACGCUGAGGAGCGAAAGCGUGGGGAGCGAACAGG
rnacentral:rRNA from 1 species